rnacentral:rRNA from 1 species
GACGAACGCUGGCGGCGUGCUUAACACAUGCAAGUCGAACGAAGAGCGACGGAAGCUUGCUUCUAUCAAUCUUAGUGGCGAACGGGUGAGUAACGCGUAAUCAACCUGCCCUUCAGAGGGGGACAACAGUUGGAGACGACUGCUAAUACCGCAUACGAUCUAACCUCGGCAUCGAGGAUAGAUGAAAGGUGGCCUCUACAUGUAAGCUAUCACUGAAGGAGGGGAUUGCGUCUGAUUAGCUAGUUGGAGGGGUAACGGCCCACCAAGGCGAUGAUCAGUAGCCGGUCUGAGAGGAUGAACGGCCACAUUGGGACUGAGACACGGCCCAGACUCCUACGGGAGGCAGCAGUGGGGAAUCUUCCGCAAUGGACGAAAGUCUGACGGAGCAACGCCGCGUGAGUGAUGACGGCCUUCGGGUUGUAAAGCUCUGUUAAUCGGGACGAAAGGCCUUCUUGCGAAUAGGGAGAAGGAUUGACGGUACCGGAAUAGAAAGCCACGGCUAACUACGUG